rnacentral:lncRNA from 1 species
GUAAACAAAUUCGUUGAAGAGGGGUCUAAAAACAACACAAACAACAAUUUAUAAAAGGCCAAAAAGAGUGAAAAAAUAUAUUUUCACAAAACGCCUUUGACUAAAAGAGGGAUAAAAAAUACCAAAGAACAGUCAAACUCAUCAAUCGAAAAUAAACUGACAGCGCCUGGCUAAAAAUAAAAUAAAACAAACAAACCAAACAAAAGAGCAAAUGACACAACAUAGAAAACUAAAGAAUAAGCAACAAGAAUCCCACCAAAAUCUAGGGGUCAUCUCUGGUCCUCCUGAAGGGUAAACAGAUCCUGCUCCACAUGUGGCACCCGUCGGGUUUCUUAUGUUAUGACAAAUCUGGCAUAUAGUCUAAUUCAAUAGGUCACAUUCAUGAAAGGGAAGGG